CUGUAAUGCCCUUAGAUAUUCUAGGCCGCACGCGCGCUACACUAAUAGAGCUAAUGAGUUCUUCACCUUAGCUAAAAGGUCUAGGUAAUCUUGUGAAACUCU
rnacentral:rRNA from 1 species